UUCAAUCUCAUCCACCCAUCUUGAUUUAAUCCAACGGUCCUAGUUUGAUCUUCAUCCUAGGUAUUUAAAGCCCAAAAUCCAGAAAAAUUUGCCUCAUUUCCCCCUUAUUUCCUCUCUCUUCUUUCCCUCUCCUUCUUCUCUCUUCUCUUUCUCUUCACUCUCUUUACGCCGCCCCAUCUCCGCCUACAGCCGCCGGUCGGAAAUCGCCACCGCCGGUGGACCACCUCCAAAUACCCCAAAUUCACACAAUGUAAUCUCCACAACUUCCUCUUUCCAUAUCUCCAAACCAAAUCCUUCAAAAAUCCCUCAAACUCCUUGAAUCUUAGAUCUUGGAAACUUUUCCGUCACUUUUUUGCCCAAAUCCUUGAAGCUCCAACCACUACCACCCCACAAUACCUACAUCAAUGGAUAUAGCUCCUCAAGACCUAACUAUUGAUGCCAAUUUCACCCUGAAAAUCCGGCGACCAAAAUCCGGCCAAAUUUCGGCGACCUCCCCGAACAACCUCUUUUGGCAUACCACCAUUUUUUCGGCCACUUGAAUUGUAAAAUGGUAAUCCUUUAAGACUCAUAACGUACGUAUUUUCAGCAAUGGGAACAACUUGAACAUGCUGCACCAUUUAAAUGAUGAAUAAUUUGACAACAAAAGAACUUGUAUGUUAUUGUUAUGUAUCAAGCAUGUGAUAAUGUGAAUAUAGUCCUUCAUAAUACUUGAAUAUUGAGUUGCAAGUUUUUUGAAUGUGAUAUCUAAGUAUGCCAUGAA